GUCAAACCUAUACAUACAUUCUUUAUAUUUGUGAAAAGGGAAGUGCUAUAUGUAUAUAAUUGUUGUAUCCAUAAUUACAAGUGGUACUGGAUUCAACUUUGAAUUCAGAUCUCACAUUUACACAUCAACAAUCGAAUGAUUGCCACAUAAUAUUAUGGACACUAUUUUGUGCAAUAAUUAUAUACAAGUAAAAUUUUUCUUGUGAAAAUUGUAUGUUUUUGAUUUGUUGGCUGCUUUUCUGGGUUUUUGCAUAUUCAAGAAGGUAAUGAAGAUGGAGUUUUUUGGAGAAGUACAGAGGUAAGAUUCUAUACACGUAACAUUCUCAAUUCUUAUUUUUCCUUUUUCUUUUUUCUUUUUUUUUUUUUCCUUUGGGUACUUAAUACUUUAUAUUCCUUGUCAUUCUUGUUUGAUUAAUAGUUUUCAUUCUCACUUUUUGAUUAUCUUUUACAGCUGAUAGCGUUGGAGAAGACUUCACCAAGAAACUUGAUAGCGGGCAUAAAGUUAAUUGUCCGUGGGUAGGAAACGUCUGUGCAGAAAGCUUGGUUCAGUUCUCUCCUACACCACUAUCAGCAUUGAUUGGUGGUUAUAAGGAUCGUUGUGAUGGAAUGUUGUAGUUCCCUUCUCUGCCCAUUGUGGCUGCAUCUGCAAUUGAGCAAAUGCAAAUAUCUCGGGGGUCCUGAAAUUGACCGACUUUUAGCUCAGACUCAGUUUGCAGGCAAUGAAUUGGGUUUUUGCAGUGUGUGAAAAUCAUAUUUAUUUAUUUUUUCCGUAUUUUAAUUCAAAUUAGCAAUGGAAAUAGUGAAGAAAACCCGUUGGUAAUCAUCAUCGGACAAAAUCUAUAGUCAAUUUGAGACCGCAAAAUUUGUUGCUAUUUAGUAACGAAAAUAGUCGUUGGUAUACACCGACGGCUUCUUCCAUCGCUAAAUCAUCGAUGAUCUAGGUAAUUCGUCUCUAAAAUUAGCGGCGGGGGCAUUACCGACGGAUUUUCUAACCGAUCAAUUCCGAUUGUGAAAGUCGUUAGCGACGGAAUUUAAGGCAUUAGGGAUGGAAAUUUCCGCCUCUGAAGCCAUUUUUUUUUUUUGUAGUGUUUUCCAACUUGCAAUUAUGUUUGGUUUACAUGUAGAAUAAGUGAUAUGGAAUAUUUAGA
rnacentral:lncRNA from 1 species